GUGCUUGGGCAGCACAUAUACUAAAAUUGUAACUAUACAGAGAAGAUUAGCAUGGCUCCUGCACAAGGAGGACACACAAAUUCUUGAAGUGUUCCAUACUUUU